rnacentral:snRNA from 1 species
AAAAAAGAGGCUGAUCAUAAAUGUGGUUUGCCCAGGGUGAGGCUUAUCCAUUCCUUGAGCUCCAUAUGUGCUGAUCCCCUGUGACUUCCCCAAAUAUGGGAAACUCAACUCCAUAAUUGUGGUAGUAGGGGACUGUGUAAGUGCUCUCCCCUC